rnacentral:lncRNA from 1 species
UCGGGACAAAGAGAAGCAGGCUCGGGACAUGGCUGAAGCCCGAGAAGAGGCCAUGAACCGUAGGCUGGCCUCGGACAGUCCCGCCCUACCCAAGGCCUUUGCCAGAGUGAACAGUAUCAGCCCUGGUUCCCCAGCCAGUAUUGCGGGCCUGCAAGUGGAUGAUGAAAUUGUGGAGUUCGGCUCUGUGAACACCCAAAACUUCCAGUCUCUGCAGAACGUGGGCUCUGUGGUGCAGCACAGCGAGGGGAAGCCCCUGAAUGUCAUGGUGAUCCGCAGAGGGGAGAAGCACCAGCUCAGACUGACUCCCACCCGCUGGGCAGGAAAAGGACUGCUGGGCUGCAAUAUUACCCCUCUCCAAAGAUGACUGCUUCCUGGGAGCUGCAGGAGAGCUUCUUCAGCUGGGCCCGCGCUUGGCCUGGGGGAUUUCCUCAUUCUCUCGGCUCCCUCAAGUUCAUUCCCCAGUUGCCACCCGUUUCUGUUUUGGAUGUCUGGCACUUUCUACAAGGAAGCUUGUGUCCUUGGAUUGGAUUUGCUCAGGAUGGAGGCAGAGACCAGCUUUCUCUGAUGGCAGUCAGUACUGAUGCGUGCUUCCUGCUUUGACUACUCACACUGGACUUGAAAGCCUCCCCCAGGCUGCUUCAUCCAGACAGCCCCACGCAUCCCUCUCUUGUAGCCAGACUUGCUAUGUUUACUUGUGUUUGCUGUUCCCGUUGUAGGCUAGAAGUCCAAGUAUUUUCCAGCCUCUAUAAUAAAACGCAGCUUGUACCAACCAUUC